CUUUGAUCUGACUGGUUUGUCUCGUGUUCACUUGCUGUUUCCUUGCUUAGUUAUCUGAUGCUUAAGAUACAUCCCCAUUACAGUGAUUUACUUCUGCUGUGGGCUAUGUGUUUGACUUUUGUGGGGCUUCUCUAUGGGUCCCCAGCUGGAGCUGUCAUUGCUUCUCAGCUGUUUGCAAUGAGUGCUGCUCUGCAGGUGGCUUAUGCGGGAGGCCCAGAGUAGGUUCCUGCUUGUGGCUAUUGAAUAGAAGUUACUGGGAAUGCUAGGGCUGUCAGCUUUGUGCAGAUCUCUUCCUACGGAGACUGGAGGAAGGAAAUACCAGAAGCCUUGCAAUAUAAUAUGCACAGCUGACCUUUUGUGUCCUGGAUUGCAUCGGAAAGGAAGAAAAUACUUCAAGGAGAGCUCCUCAGGGUUCAGGCUUGGGCACACUACAGCACCAACAAGCAGUGGGGUACAGAGCAGGAGGUGGAGCAGAAAACCACACAGGUGCCAAACAUGUCAUUCAGAUGCCAGGCGGAUGACUUCAUGUCUCAGCAUGGUUGGUUUUUUUCCAGCUAUAGGAUGAGAAUUGAAAUAAUUUCUUUCUGAAUAUUUUUUUCUAGAAUAUGAAUAAGGAUCUGAAUUAAAAACAGCUUAUCAAAUAAUCUGUACUUCUAUUAAAAGCUAUCAAACUCUGCUCUCAAGUAUGCUUUAUAAAAUUGACUAUUAACAGAACUAGAUAAUCCCGUGGAUCACAGAGCAUGAAAGCACUCCAGGACAGGCUUGGCACCUGUUUUGUUCUCCCUUCAGAUGAAUUAGUACUGUAGAUCAAGAUGCAGUGACACUAGAAGUGGUUAAAACACCCCUCUUAUAAUGAUAUAACACCUUUGUUUUUAGUAGGAAUAGACAAAUAGGCUGAUUCUGUGUUACAAAUGUAUCUUGCUUUUGAAGAAGUUACUUGAGAGCACAGCAAAUAAUCUUCAUUAAUGUACAAGGAGUAGCUGAAGGAGUCUGUUGUAGGGUAUUAUUGUUAAGAUAGGAAAAGCUAUUUUCCGGUCAGAACAAUUAUAUACGUUUCUUUGGCAUAUAUUUGUAGAUAUGUUUUUUUUUUAAAGAAGUCAAACUGUGUAGGGAGCAGCUAAUUUUUUUUCUCAGACUUAUUGUAGUUUACAAAAAAUAAAACAUCUGAUUUUUGUACCUUAUAUUCA
rnacentral:lncRNA from 1 species